CUAUCUCNAGCCUAAUUUUCCCAANGCNAGCCGGUACAGUAAGGGAGCUUGCUCCCGGAUGUUAGCGGCGGACGGGUGAGUAACACGUGGGUAACCUGCCUGUAAGACUGGGAUAACUCCGGGAAACCGGAGCUAAUACCGGAUAGUUCCUUGAACCGCAUGUUUCAAGGAUGAAAGACGGUUUCGGCUGUCACUUACAGAUGGACCCGCGGCGCAAUAGCUAGUUGGUGGGGUAAUGGCUCACCAAGGCNACUAUNCNUAGCCNACCUGAUANGGUNUUCGGCCACACUGGGACUGAUANACCNCCCAAACUCCUACUGGAGGCANCAGUAGGGAAUCUUCCUCCAAUGGACNAAAGUCUNACNGACNANCCCCNUGAGUGAUGAAAGUUUUC
rnacentral:rRNA from 1 species